GUACGUGUGUAAUAACAGCUAGUGUAGUGUCGACCGUGGACGUAUAUGUGCAAUUUGGUUAGAAGAUUUGGACGUUAAAUUGCUUGCAGUGCAGUGCAGUUGCUUAGUUAAAGUGAGUUCUCAUCACGAGGUCGAGGUAUGGAGUCUGAACAGGAAAGAAAGCUUUUUCUAGGUGGGCUGAAUUACAACACAAAAGAUGAAGACAUCAAGAAAUAUUUUGGCACAUUUGGAAAAAUCGUGGACUGUUGUGUUAUCAAAGAUUCAAAUUCACAGAGGUCCAAAGGAUUUGGAUUUGUCACAUUCUCCAGCCGAAAGGAAGUCGAUGAUGUUAUGAAAGCUAGAAAAGAAAAUCCUCAUCGACUUGAUAACAGAGAUAUUGAUGUGAGAAGAGCCAUGUCAAGAGAUGAGAAGGGACCAAAGAAUCCCUCAUUCAAGUGUUUCUUGGGUGGCAUCCCAAGGGAUACCACAGAGGAGGACUUGAGAAAGUACUUUGGUCAAUUCGGUAACAUCGUUGAAUUUGCAUCACAUCUCAACAAAGGAUUUUGUUUUAUCACCUAUGAUGACACAGACUGUGUUGAUCAGAUUGUCAUGCAGAAGCACCAUAAGAUUAAUGGCAAGAAGGUUGAAGGAAAGAAGGCAUACUCUAAGGAAGAGAUGAAUGAAAUGAAGAUGAAAGAACAGCAGCAACAAGGUGGCUUUGGUGGACCUGGUGGCUACAGAGGCUUUGGAGGAGGGGGAGGAGGAGGGGGAUAUGGUGGAGGAGAUUACCAAGGUGGAUAUAGCGGUGGCCAGGGAGGAGGAGGUGGCUAUAACCAAGGAUAUGGUGGAGGACCAGGAGGUGGUUUCGGAGGAGGCGGUGGCUAUGGUGGCGGUGGCGGCUACAGUGGCGGUAGUGGUUAUGGUGGCGGCGGCAAUUUCAAUGACUUUGGUUCCAACUAUGGAGGACAGAACUCUAACUAUGGACCUGUGAGAGGAGGUGGUGGAGGCAGCGGUGGAGGAGGAAACUAUGGAGGAGGGCGCAACCAAGGGCCUUAUCCAAGUAAUAAUGGUGCUCCAUACAGUGGUGGAGGACAGGGUGGACCACAGGGCUAUGGAGGUGGAGGCGGAGGUUACCAAGGUGGUGGUUACGGUGGUGGACAAGGAGGUGGUGGCGGUUACAGUGGAGGUGGUGGAGGCUACCAGGGCGGUGGUGGUGGUGGCUUUGGAAAGAGAUUCUAAGUGUUGAUAACUGACCAACAAUGAUAGACCAACCAGUUGAGGUACAGCAGAUGGUUGCACUUGUUAAAGUUCUCCAAUGGCAGAUCCUUUCAGAUGCUUUUCCUGAAUGUCGAAGAUAGCUUCAUUGGUGUUGAAAGAUUGACCUAACUGGGCUAGAGGAUAACCCUGAUGUUUAACAUCAUGUCCAUGAGGUUCAUUUCAAGUGACAACCUGAAGGCAGGAUAAAGACAUUUACUAUUCCUGUGUUUAUCAAUGAUAAGGGAGAUAAACUGUUUUGUUCAGUUGUAUCUGAAACUAAUCAAGGUUCUAGAAUGGAGAGUGUGUUAAGCAAAUGUGAACAUAAAUGUCACGUUUCAGUUACACAAAAUAUCUCUAAUGCACCAGCUUAUAGCUCAUUACCACUCACCUAUUCCUUUCAGCUAAAAUCCACCCUGUAGUACAUGCCUCUGAUAUUCAGUUACAUCUAUACCUAGUUUAGAGUAACUGCUACUAGAUUCAUUAAGAAUAUCAUUCUUAACUGUAAAAGAGCCAGGUUAUUGGGGCCGCUCCCCCCCCCCCCCCCCCCCUGAGAACUCGGCCCUCAAUUGCGCGAGCACCUCAAAAACUUGCACAGGGGUAGUGUGCAAUAUAAUCUACAAGGGUGUAUGGUUAAUUAUAUUGAAAUAAGAUUUUUAAUUUAAUGACUUGAUUAUGCUAAUUUAUUCAGAUUUUCAGAUAGCAGAUAGAUUUUCUCAAAUCAACUAUCAUAUUGCCUCAAAACUGCUAUUUUUUUUUAUUCAGACUCUCUGUAGGAUCAUGAUCAAAUGUACUUGAAGGUCAAGUCCACCUCAGGAAAAUGUUGAUUUAGGAAAAUGUCCUUUAGGGUCAACAAACUUUGGUAAUGUUGGGGGUAUUUGUGGAACUGUCCUAACUUUAUGACAGUCAUAAGUUUAUGGAUCUAGUUCAUGAAACUUGGAUAUAAGAGCAGCAAUGUUAAAUAUAAUACCCUGUGCACGUUUCAGGGACUUGGCCAAGAUCGAAGAUCAUUCAAAGGUUGUUGAGAGUAUGUGUUGAAUUGGCAUCAUAACUUAGAAAGUUUAUGGAUCUAGCUCAUGAAACAUAGACGUAAGGGUAAUCAAGUAUGAAUGAUGCGCAUGUAUUAGGUCACAUGAUCAUGGUCAUUUUGGGUCAAUGGACAUCAUAUUUUAUCAUAUUAGUGUUUUUCUUCUGUGAAUAAUUACUCAUUAGCUGUUUUCAAAUUCUUAUCUCUUUUGAAUCAUGACAGAAUUCCAUGCUUAUUGUGCAGGUUACUGAGUAAUUUCUAAUUUUCUACACGGGUGGUGUUUCAUAAAGCUGUUCGUAAAGUUCCGCAAAACUUUACGAACGACUGGAACAUGUUCUUAUCCGUAAGUCAGCUACAUAGGGAUAUAUCACAUAGCACAAGAAAGGGUCACCAGUCAUGCGAAAAGUCAUUCGUAACUUACAAACAGCUUUAUGAAACGGGCCCAUGCAUCAACUUUGCACAUGAUAUUCAUUUAUACAAAUACUUUGUGCUAAUCUAUCAUAAUGACAAACCUGCUGAUACUCAUUACACUAAGAGAAGCUUUGAUGACUCAUCAUUACAGAACUUCUUUAUCAAGUUGUCUAACUCUCAAUUUGAUGUUAGUUCAAGUAACAAUGUUGAAACGAAGUACAAUCAUUUUUUAGGCAUAUUUUUACGUCAUUACAAUGACUGCUUCCCCAUGAGAAGCUAUUCCAUAAAGAAAAGGAAUAAAAAACCAUGGAUGACUAGGGAACUUAGAAAAUUAUGUAUUAAAAAGAAUAAUCUAUACAAGAAAUAUAUCAGAAAUCCAACAAAUUUAAAUGAAAUCAAAUAUAAAAAUAUAGAAAUUUUGUGACUUAUCAGCUGCGUAAAGUCAAAUCUAAUUAUUACACACAAGAAUUCAAACAGGUCAAAGAUAACAUCCAUUCUACAUGGAAAUUUAUAAAUAAUAUAAUGGGUAAGAAACUUAAUUCUAAACCUAUUGACUCAAUUAUUACUCCUGAUGGUCAAACAUAGUCUGACAAUUCACUUAUUGCGAAUGCAUUUAAUAAUCAUUUCGUAACUAUUGGUGAAAAAUUGAUAAAUCAACAUACUGCUAUUAACUCGUCAUCUGUACCUUCAUUUCAGGAUUACAUUCCACAACGUAACCUGAAAUCUAUGUUUUUUAAACCAAUAACAUGCAAAGAAAUUUAUGAAAUUGUGAAAGAUAUGCCAAACGACUCUAGUCCUGGUAUGGAUUCAAUAGUUGUUGAAAAAAACAAUCUCAUUGAUAUGCAUUCCAUUAUGCAAUAUUUUUAAUUUAAGCAUAUCAACAGGUACUGUUCCCAAAUAUUUGAAGAUUGAUAAGGUCACUCCUAAACACAAAAGUGGAAGUCGAGAAAAUAUGAACAAUUAUCGUCCAAUAUCUGUACUAAAUAUAUUUGCUAAAAUACUUGAGAGAUGUGUGUAUAACAGGAUUAUUAGUUUUAUUGAUGAAAAUGAUAUAAUAUUUAACAACCAGUAUGGAUUCAGGAAGGGGCACUCCACAUCUUCAGCUGUCUUGGAGCUUACACAUAAGAUACACAACUCUAUUAAUAACAAAGAACAUACUCUAGCAAUAUUUAAUGAUCUCUCUAAAGCCUUUGAUGUUAUUGACCACUCUAUUCUGUUAAAAAAAACUAGAUUACCAUGGAAUAAGGGGCUUGCCACUCAAAUGGAUCCCAGAUUAUUUAACCGAUCGAGAACAAAUUACUAUAUUUAACAAAUGUGAGUCAAGCUCCAGGACAGUGAGAUAUGGAGUGCCCCAGGUUCAGUCCUUGGCCCACUCCUUUUUCUGUUAUUUAUAAAUGAUUUACCCCAAUGUUCAAAUAUGCUAAAUUUUGUGUUAUUUGCUGAUGACACGUGUGUCUCUAUGUCUGGUAGUAAUAUUGAUAUUCUGUUCAGAGAUGUGAAUUUACAGCUUAAAAAGAUCAAUGAGUGGGUGUCAGUCAAUAAUCUAAUUGUGAAUACUUCAAAAACCAAUUAUAUGUUGUUAAGCACAUGCAGCCAUAAGAUAGACAACUUAAAAUUAUACUAUAAUAGCUUUGAAAUUACUCAACUUCACAAUGUAAAAUUUUUAGGUAUUUAUUUGGAUGACAAUUUAUCUUGGAACUUUCAUAUUGAACAGGUCUGUAAUAAGAUUGCUAAAAAGAUUGGGAUAAUAGCUAAACUUAAUUUUUUGCCAAGUUCAGUUCUAAAAAUGUUAUAUCAUGCUUUUAUCACAUCUACCAUUAACUAUGGAGUGAUUGCAUGGGGAAUUACAACUAAAAGAAAUAUACAGAAAAUUUUUACUUUACAAAAAUGAGCAAUCCGUCUAAUAACUCAUUCCAAUUACAUCUCUGAAAGUGCACCUCUUUUCCAACGAAACAAUAUCUUACCGAUUCAGAAUAUCAUAUCAUUACAGACCUGUUUAUUCAUGUACCAAUGCCAUAACCAUAUGUUACCUAAGUCUCCUCAAGAUUAUUUUAAAAUGAAUAAUUUAUAUCACUUAUAUCAAACUAGAAAUUGUAAAAGUUAUCACCCUCCUUUGCCAUGCAUAGCUUUAACUAGACGAUCUGUUUUUUAUUUUGGACCACUCUUUUGGAACUCAUUACCGAAUUCUGUUAAAUUAUCAAAAUCUUUAAAUCAAUUUAAACGUGCAUGUCUUCAAAACAAAACACUUUUAAACACGGCUUUCCAUUUAUUGUAAUGAUUUGUUUUCACCCCCCCCCUUUUCUUAGACUUGUAAUUAUGUUAUGAUUAUAUUGUUUGUUUACUUUACAUGUAUUAAUAUGAUUUAUUCUAUACUUUAGGGGCCAAUUUAUACAAGCAGUUAUGCUUUCUUUGACCCAUCCACGUGUAAUAUAUCUUUUAAUGUCAAUGAUUUGUAUAUACAUAUAUUUUUAAUUGUGGAAAUAAAUUUGAAUUGAA